CACGACCGGAGUCAGGGUGCGGCGUAAGAAGGAAGACCCCUCAGGCAAAACCAGCAAGAGACCGGUCGCACCUGGUCCGCGACAGCUCCACCUCUCAUCCACCCCCAGCAACCGCGGGAGCAGCGGCGGUGGCGGCGGCAACAGCAAAGCAGCUUGGUUCCGGAGGACAGGGUCCUCCAGGCGCACCGAGGACGACUAACCACCCCAGGAGUGAAUCAGAGACUGAGGAAAAAGAAAGAGGGUCGAGUUAGAGUCCGCGAGAUUUUUUUUGUUCUCCCCCAGCCCCAAAUUUGGUCUUGUGUCGAACACUGUAGUCCCGCGAAGGGUGUGAGAACUCCUUUGGGUAAUCUAAGUAAAGAGACUAUCAGUUUAACCCGCUGUGUGAGGUGACCAGAACUUGGCUGAUGAAGUCAUGUGAGCUGAAGGAUUGGCUGGCAUCCCUGAAGAGGGGAGUGUCAGGGCGCUGGCACCUUCCCGGGAGCCCCCGAGCGCCCGGCUUCCAGGCUGCGGAAAACUCUUCUACUGGGGCGUCGGCGCCGCCUGACUAAGCGUGCAGUCACCAAGCAGCUGAUGAAGAGAAACGGACCUUUCACAGCCCCAGACAGCCUUCUGAAACUGAGCAACAGAAAAAAGGAAAGCUGAAAAACUGAAGUUAGAAAUUGACUCAUGAUUGCCGGCAACUUCAAAUAUGAAUUUAUAGUGUGUGUGUGACAAAAAUCAUCCACUAUCGUGGAGAAAGUGGAAGGAGCUUCUACUAGAUUUUGCGUCGCACUUGCAAAGGACUUAGUAAGGUCAUUUUGCACGUAAUUAGAAAUUAUGUAAAUUUACCUAAUUCACAACUCAGAAGUAGCAUGGAAACAAAUGCUGGUGUGGCAACAAGAAGAUUAGUAUCAUAGUAUAACAAGCCAUUAUUACAAAAGCGCGUUUAAAAUGAAGUUCCACUUCCAAAAGUGAAAAUGUCAAAGUAGCAGAUGUUUUUCAUCAUUCAAAGUAACAGAAUCAGGGAUGUAGGCAACUGUACAUUCACAUACCGUUGGUUGAGUGUAAGUUAACAACUUUCUUAAGGGAAAUAUUUGGAAGCCUGUAACAAGCUUUUAAAAAUGUGAAUACUUUUGGACUCAGCAGGUCUAUUUAUUUUUGAAAUUUAUCAUUCGAAAACAUGAGCAAAAGAUACGUGGCAGUAUCGUUUAUAAUACCAAAGUAUUGUUAACCUCUAAAAUGUCAAACAUUAAAAAUUUGGAGAAAUUGC